UAUAUAUGUGACAGCUGUGGGUUAAGAUUGAAACUUCAUUCCCAGUCCUUCAAUGAAAAUAGUCUCCCUUACCUCCAUCUCUGCAUUAUUGAUUUCAGCUAUCAUGUAUCAAAUCAAACAGGCAAUUUUAAGUCUUGCCAGAAUUUACAAACCUUCUUACUUCGACCACACCCAAAGGUUUAGAAUCCAGGGUCUAAGAGCAGCUCGUUGAGUACAAACACAACAAAAACCAUCAGCGUAUAGGAUGAUACUGGGUAAUACCUCGUUUUGGUGGCAACUUCCUCAAAAUGAAAAGGACUAAGGAUGAAGGUAAUAUCUCCACCAACUGCCCAUCAAAAGAAAACAAACCAACCAACAAAAUUCAUUUAAAAUGUUCACUUUCCAUAUCUAUAAGCAAGGCAUGAAGUUCAUGUCCCAUGCUUAGGAAUUAUAACAAUAGAUAUAUUCUGUCUUAGAUUGUUGAGAGAAAACCAAGUUUGACAUCCUACUUAGAUUGUUUUAUUUGGUUAUUUUGUGAAGUCGAAACUACUCGGUAGAUAGUAUAUACCAACUUAGCCUAUGUGAUUAGUGUUUAUAUUAAAGUUGCAGAUAAAUAGCAUUUGAUUGACAUGCAAUAGAAAUAUAUAUAGGACAAGAAUUGACACUCAAGGAUAACAUCAGAUUGUAAUAUUAAGUAAAAAUAAUAAAAGCCAUUCAGGAAAAAAAAAAGCAUACAAUUCAAAAAUAAAACAAGAAUCAUAUUUAGAAUCCACCCACCAUGAUAAAUCUAUUUUCUAUGAUAAUAGGCAAAGAAGUAUAUGUUCUUUAAUUUAAUUAGUAAAAAUUAAAAAACUUAACACAUGGCUGCAGAUGUAACUCACAAUUAUCAGUAUAACUAUUUAUUUAACCUUAAGUUCAAGGACUAGGUUGCAAUGAGGAUAAAAGUUGGGUGAUGGUGGUCUAUUUGACCCAGGAUACAACCUCUGGUCAUAACAAUACAUGAUGUUAAAACAACCCCGUUUUAUAUUUGACAGCAAAAAUAGUCAUCAUUGCACUUAAAAGCUUCUUUGAUGUAAAAAUCUGAUUGCAAAGACUUAUAAAUUGCUUGUCAAACUUGCAGUUUCUUGAAAUAUGAAUUCUAGUUAAGUAAAAGAAGCAUGCAACAAUCAUUUAAUUUUUAUAUGGCAAUAAGAUGAGUUAAGAAACUUCCACACUGUAUUUGAACAUGAGUAUCUAACUUACUAGCAAUAAGCAACAUAAUACAACCAUUCAUCAAACUUACCAGGUAAUAUAUUAAGUUUAGAAUUGGAUGGUUCAAAACAUUAAGGUCAGCACCUUUGUCAAAUGCAUUAAAGCACAUCUACACAAAAAAAUAAUAGAGCUCAAAUUAGAUAAGUUUUGGACAAAUGAUCAACGAUUGAUCAAUUAGAUAAAUGAUCUAAACCAACUAGCAGCUAAAGGGUUCAACUUGAAUACUUCCGUUUUUUAACAAAAACGCUAUAAACAUUAUAUGCAUCUAAAAGUUUCACAAAGACAAAAUAAAACAAGCUUGUAGCCUUCUCAAGAGAAAUACAAAGGGUUAGUAAAGCCAGAAAAGUCUACCAUGAUGCAUCUGACUAGGAAACAUGUGAAGCAUAUGGUUGUCACAUAACCAACCUGCCCAAUCCAAAAAGAAAUAACAAUCAAAAAAUGCAAAUGGAUGGCAAAAUUGUUGGACUCAAAACCACAACUGCAUUAACGUAAAUAUAUACUUCUUGCAACUUCUUACGCCGUCCUUUGGACUCUACAGGGAACCGCUGCAACAUUAAGAAAAGCCUGCAAUGACUGGAUAUGUUAUUAUAUAGCUUUCCCAUGCUCACACAAUAGACAAGGGAAAAAACCACUCUUUUAAAUCACAAACCAGAUAUCAAAGCUUAUGUAAUCAUAUAAAAAGAAAAUGAUAUAGAGGUUUUAAAAUGUGUGCUCCCUAAACAUAAACCAAAUUAUCACACUAAGCUAGCUCCAAUGCCAGUAAAACAAUUAGACACAAUACAAUAAAUGUCAAUGCAGUUACCUUCCACCAUACAGUAAAAAGCCAAGUGCCGCAAACAGUGAAACACCUGCCCAUAUACAGUGAGGAUCAAAUAUUCAUUCAUUAUCGAAACAAAUUACAACUGGAUUAACAUUUAUAAAGAAUCUAAACUAAGUGAUUAUCCUGAAUCAUGGUACAUCAACAGAGCACCAAAGUUACUCAACAGUUAACUACAAAAAAUCUACUAAAAACACCAAAAAGACUUACCUGCAAAGAACAUUUUAGAUAGAAUGACUAAAACUGGGAUAUAUUUCCACCACAAUAUCAGCCACAUUGCAAUCUGAAAUCAAGGACACCCAGCCUCAUGUUAGAGAAACUUUAUUAACAUCUUGUCAGAAGCAAUGAUCCAAAGGAAAUUAAGUAUGCAACAGCACUUACAAAGGUGACAGAAUCACUAAACUUGCUAGAUAAGAAAAAAUAUAUACCUAUGUUACUUAGACUCGGGUGUGAGUGUCAGAUACGAGUAUGUAUCCGACAUAGAUAUGGUUAGUUUUUCUAAGUUUUUCUAUGUAUUUGAAGGAUCCUAGGAGGUCAUAUCUUCAUAUCCGUGUUUCGGACAUAAAUGUCGGUCAUGGGUACUUCAUGAAAAAUGGAGAGUCCGAACAACUUAGAUAUAUUUUGUGGGUUCAUAUUUACUACUAAAAUUUGCAAGUGCUAGAAA